rnacentral:misc_RNA from 1 species
GAUGAAGAACGUAGCAAAAUGCGAUAAGUAAUGUGAAUUGCAGAAUUCAGUGAAUCAUCGAAUCUUUGAACGCACAUUGCGCCCGCUGGUAUUCCGGCGGGCAUGUCUGUUCGAGCGUCAUUUCAACCCUCAAGCCCCCGGGUUUGGUGUUGGGGAUCGGCUCUGCCCUUCUGGGCGGUGCCGCCCCCGAAAUACAUUGGCGGUCUCGCUGCAGCCUCCAUUGCGUAGUAGCUAACACCUCGCAACUGGAACGCGGCGCGGCCAUGCCGUAAAACCCCAACUUCUGAAUGUUGACCUCGGAUCAGGUAGGAAUACCCGCUGAACUUAAGCAUAUCAAUAAGCGGAGGA